GAUGAAGAACGUAGUGAAAUGCGAUAAGUAAUGUGAAUUGCAGAAUUCAGUGAAUCAUCGAAUCUUUGAACGCACAUUGCGCCCCUUGGUAUUCCAUGGGGCAUGCCUGUUCGAGCGUCAUUUACACCCUCAAGCUCUGCUUGGUGUUGGGCGUCUGUCCCGCUGCUUUGCGCGGACUCGCCUCAAAGGUAUUGGCAGCGAUCAUGCCAGCUUCUCGCGCAGCACAUUGCGCUUCUUGAAGUUCUGGUGGAUCAGCGUCCAUUAAGCUUACCUUCAUGACUUGACCUCGGAUCAGGUAGGGAUACCCGCUGAACUUAAGCAUAUCAAUAAGCGGAGGA
rnacentral:misc_RNA from 1 species